CCCCUCCUUUCUCGAGCUAACGUGUCAAUGCGUUGAGCGCUCACGCUUAUCGGCUGUGAAUCAGGACAGUAAGUCAGACAGACUGAGGGGUCUGUAGCUCAGUCGGUUAGAGCACCGUCUUGAUAAGGCGGGGGUCGAUGGUUCGAAUCCAUCCAGACCCACCAUUGUCUUGUCUGCGAUGGCUGCGCUGGUCGAUGGAUCCCGAAGUGUGAUGAUGCUAUCUGUGCAUGACUGGGGGAUUAGCUCAGCUGGGAGAGCACCUGCUUUGCAAGCAGGGGGUCGUCGGUUCGAUCCCGUCAUCCUCCACCAAUCUUCAAUGCCGGUUUUACUGCGGCAAGCCCUGAAAGGGGUUUGCGGUGUAGUGAAACAGGCAUUGGCGAUUGAGCCAGUCAGAGUGAUACGCGGUUAUAGCAAUCGUGAUAUCGGCUGUCGUUCUUUAACAAUCAGGAAGAAGUAGUAAAGAGAUUCACGAAAGCAUACUUAGAGAUGGGUGUGUGAGUAGGUGAAUCAGGGUUGUGAUUGUAUCAAUGUAUUUUUUAAGUGAUCGAAAGAUCGCUUUGGAAUACGGCGCAACACGAAUACUCAACCUGUAGCGAUUGUGGCGAAGGUGGCAUUCCCAGUGAAUGACACAUGAGACACACCCGUUAUAGGGUCAAGCGAACAAGUGCAUGUGGUGGAUGCCUUGGCGAUCACAGGCGAUGAAGGACGCGGUAGCCUGCGAAAAGCGACGGGGAGCUGGCAAACGAGCUUUGAUCCGUCGAUGUCCGAAUGG
rnacentral:misc_RNA from 1 species